GUAACCAGAAGUGGACUUCCUAUAUCAUCCACAAGCGAAACUCACCUUUAUGGUUGGAGCAGAACAACCUUAAAGUGAGAAAACCCUACCAAAAAAUAACCAACAUCGGCGACCACCGAUUACACAUAUAGUGGACGUCGAUUCAUCGAUCGGCGAUCAUGUUGACCUAAGGAGAUCGCCGCUUCAUCAACCGACGAUCAUGUUGAUCUUUGCAUACCUACGGCGACCACCGACUACGCACAUGGAGAUCGCCCGUUGAUCGACCGACGAUCAUGUUGUCCUUGUAAAACUUCAGCACCCUCCGACUAGGCGAUCAUGUUGAUCUUUGCAUACCUAUGGCGACCACCAACUACGCACAUGGAGUUAAAAAACAUGAUGAGGGGUGAAAUAACUGAUGGUCUUCACGACAAUGGCUGUAAACGAAAAGAUUAUCAAACAAUCACAAUUUUUUUCUCUCUAAUUUUUCAAGUAACUUUGGGAAGCACAACAUGAUCAAGAUCUUUCAAAGAUGAGUAAGGGUGAAAGAAAUGUUCAUCUCACUUAGGUUGAAUAGGUGAGGAAGAAGAUUUUGGAUUUGAAAGGUUCUUUGAAGUGGGAAACAUGGAAUGACCGAAGAAGGAGCUUGACCAAAUUUAUAUUGGCAACAUGAAGCUACAUGUUAAUAUUCCAAGAUAUUGAAGGAAUGAGCUUGAACGGAACAGAAUGGUCAUAAGGGAUGACGCCCCCAUCUUUUUAGUACUUGCGGGUAGCAUGGUUGGUCUGGUCUAAGCGCUAUGAAUGGUUUGGAAGGACAACGGUGGUUCAUCAAGAUCUACAAUUGAUGUUUUCACACUUAAGGAUGAACGAGGAAAGCGAAAAUGUUAACCGAAUCUGGUAUUGCGUGUGGGUAACAGUUAUAGGCGAAAUAUGAAAAUAAAGAAGAAGGUUUUUAAGAAUGGAUGCAUAGAUCAUAUGGAAAUCUUCACAAUGGCACAGUUGCAAGUUUGGUCAUGGGUUAUUUCGAAGAUAUGAUUAGCAUGCUUUUCAUUGGUUUGCAUGAGGUCAAUUAAAAAAAGAAAGGUUAGAGAGGAGAGAUUGGGUUGAGC
rnacentral:lncRNA from 1 species